rnacentral:rRNA from 1 species
ACAGUCACACAUUAGAUACCCCCGUAGUCCCAGCCGUAAACUAUGCUCGCUAGGUGUCAGGCAUGGCGCGACCGUGUCUGGUGCCGCAGGGAAGCCGUGGAGCGAGCCACCUGGGAAGUACGGCCGCAAGGCUGAAACUUAAAGGAAUUGGCGGGGGAGCACAACAACGGGUGGAGCCUGCGGUUUAAUUGGACUCAACGCCGGACAACUCACCGGGGACGACAGCAAUAUGUAGGCCAGGCUGAAGACCUUGCCUGAAUCGCUG